CCAGGAUGUUAGUCUCUGGAGAUCAGGGACUUGGCUAUCUCCCUGUCUUAAGCAGUGCCUGCCUCAAGUCUUCAUCCUGGCUGAACGGCAGAGGGGAUGAGAAAUGAUACACAUUUAGUGUCCAUCAUCCUUCAACAAAAUCAUUACCAAUAUCAGAGGAACCGGCAGGAAAAAGAUCCUGGUUGCAUACUGGGCGAGAGGAAGCAACACCAAACAUCCACUGACGUGAUUUGUUUGGUAGGUAUUUUUAUUUAUUUUUAAAUUUUUUUGGUAUGUAUUUUUAUUUUAUUUUAUUAUUUUAUUUUAUUUAUUAUUUAUUAUUAAUUAAUUAAUUAAUUUAUUUAUUUAUUUUUGGUA
rnacentral:lncRNA from 12 species